ensembl:snoRNA
AAAUGUUAUGAUAUGAGCAAAAUGUUCAACUAUUCCAAAUGGGCUGAGUGAAAAUAGGUUUUCUGAGCAUCC